UGUGUCUGAAACUUGAGAAAGCAAGA
rnacentral:piRNA from 1 species